UAUAUUUUUUUUCCCCGAAAACCCUCCCCCACUCCCCCCUUAAUUCCCGAUUCCCAAUCCCCGACUCCAAAUUCUUAUCUCCUCAAUCCUCAUCUCAUCUCAUCACUUUCCUUUCUUUCUUUUAGUUUUCCCUCACUUCUCUCUUCUCUCCGCAUUACCUAAAACAAUUUCCACAAGCAACAAACAAACAACUCUCAGUAACUCUGCCUCCACUACUUCACUCCAAAUGCAAACAAACAGGGAUAGGUCCCAGUGGUAUGGCUUCAAAUGAACACAGAAAGCUUUAAUAGAUAUUCCUCGGCUUCCAAUUCCAGAUGCCUUAUCCUUCAAGUAAUAAAGGGAAGAUGGUAACAGAUUUUCCCCAUCCAUUGUGUUAGGAAAAGAAAUUAACACGUGGUUCUGUUAGCUGUGAUGUUGAUAAGUUUCAUCAGCUGUCCAAAAUCCAAAAGCAUUUGUGUUGCUAAAUUACGUUGGAAAGUUUUGUUGUUGCACACUCAUGCAAUACACAUUCGUUCUCACGAUUAAUGAUUUAUCUUUUUAUUGAUAACUAAAGAGGAUCUAACACUGACUUGAAAAUUUCUAUUGCCUGGCUAACUUGGAGCAACUGCAUCUUAUGUUAGAAGAAGAAUUGAAUGGACA